AAAAAGAACAAAAAAUCCUUAAUAGUGAAAUAAUUAAAAGCAUAUUUAUGUUCCAUAUUGUAUAUAUUUUGAUCUUUGCUACAAACCACAGACAUUUAUAUCUGGUACUCUUUUACAUUUUAUUGUUUGUGUGUAAUGUUAUAUCUGACUAAGAAAGUCCGGAAAACCUCGAUAAAAUAUUUAUCAUACAUAUAUUUAGUGACCAAGUUGGCAAGAGGCAAGGAAAUGGCUGACUCUAAAUAGUGAGAUUGAAGGACACUUAAAAGUUGCAUCUGCUGAAUCUAACAGAUAUGUUACAUCUAUCUAUCUUCGUUACCUCUAUGAUGAGCUUUGUUGCUUUAUAUGCGCCGUUCUGCAAGCUCUAUCGUCGUCACUUCACUCUAUAUGUGAUCGAGGGGUAUGCGGUUGAAGGGGAAUGAAAAACAUACGACGAAGGUUGAACUGUUAGUAUGAAACAAAAGGUAAGUGCAGCUGCCAUUGCCAAAGUCACGUCGUACUUAAGAAAUACUUUUCUCUCUCUCUAUUGAUUAAUCUAUAAUUUAUCAGUAAUUUGACAUGGGGAAGGGAAAAGGCGGUGGUGGUGGUGGAGGUGGCGGUGGAAAGGGUGGUGACACUAAAAAAGCAGGAGGAACAGCACCUGGAAAAGGAUCUGAGGCCAAAGCCGACUCGAAGGGAGGAAAUAAAGGUGGAAAAAAAGGUGGGAAAAAAUAACAUCAGCUUUCUCAUCAAUCUUCACACUCUCUUCCUUCUUUGAUGAUUUUUCGAAUGAUUUUUUUCGAAUAAAAAUAUAUAUAUAUAUAUAUUAUUUAAGUUAUUAAUUUAUUAAUAAUAAAAUAAUUUAUAAAACCACUAUA